rnacentral:rRNA from 1 species
UGCAAGUCGAACGAGAGAAUUGCUAGCUUGCUAAUAAUUCUCUAGUGGCGCACGGGUGAGUAACACGUGAGUAACCUGCCCCCGAGAGCGGGAUAGCCCUGGGAAACUGGGAUUAAUACCGCAUAGUAUCGAAAGAUUAAAGCAGCAAUGCGCUUGGGGAUGGGCUCGCGGCCUAUUAGUUAGUUGGUGAGGUAACGGCUCACCAAGGCGAUGACGGGUAGCCGGUCUGAGAGGAUGUCCGGCCACACUGGAACUGAGACACGGUCCAGACACCUACGGGUGGCAGCAGUCGAGAAUCAUUCACAAUGGGGGAAACCCUGAUGGUGCGACGCCGCGUGGGGGAAUGAAGGUCUUCGGAUUGUAAACCCCUGUCAUGUGGGAGCAAAUUAAAAAGAUAGUACCACAAGAGGAAGAGACGGCUAACUCUGUGCCAGCAGCCGCGGUAAUACAGAGGUCUCAAGCGUUGUUCGGAAUCACUGGGCGUAAAGCGUGCGUAGGCUGUUUCGUAAGUCGUGUGUGAAAGGCGCGGGCUCAACCCGCGGACGGCACAUGAUACUGCGAGACUAGAGUAAUGGAGGGGGAACCGGAAUUCUCGGUGUAGCAGUGAAAUGCGUAGAUAUCGAGAGGAACACUCGUGGCGAAGGCGGGUUCCUGGACAUUAACUGGCGCUGAGGCACGAAGGCCAGGGGAGCGAAAGGGAUUAGAUACCCCUGUAGUCCUGGCAGUAAACGGUGCACGCUUGGUGUGCGGGG